UACGUAGGGUGCGAGCGUUAAUCGGAAUUACUGGGCGUAAAGCGUGCGCAGGCGGUUUUUUAAGCCAGAUGUGAAAGCCCCGGGCUUAACCUGGGAAUGGCAUUUGGGACUGCAAGGCUUGAGUGCGGCAGAGGAGACUGGAAUUCCCGGUGUAGCAGUGAAAUGCGUAGAUAUCGAGAGGAACACCUGCGGCGAAGGCGGGUUGCUGGGCUGACACUGACGCUGAAGCGCGAAAGCUAGGGGAGCGAACGGG
rnacentral:rRNA from 1 species